GAGGGUAUAGCUCAGUGGUAGAGCGCAUGCUUAGCAUACACAAGGUCCUGGGUUCAAUCCCCACUACCUCCA
rnacentral:tRNA from 1 species